AACGAACGCUGGCGGCAUGCCUAACACAUGCAAGUCGAACGAGACCUUCGGGUCUAGUGGCGCACGGGUGCGUAACGCGUGGGAACCUGCCCUUAGGUUCGGAAUAACUCCCCGAAAGGGGUGCUAAUACCGGAUAAUGUCUUCGGACCAAAGAUUUAUCGCCUUUGGAUGGGCCCGCGUUGGAUUAGCUAGUUGGUAGGGUAAAAGCCUACCAAGGCGUCGAUCCAUAGCUGGUCUGAGAGGAUGGUCAGCCACACUGGGCCUGAGACACGGCCCGGACUCCUAGGGAAGGGAGCAGUGGGGAAUAUGGGACGAGGGGCGAAAGCCGGAUGCAGCAGUGUCGCGUAAGUGAGGAAGGCCUUAGGAUUGUAAAGCUCUUUUACCCGGGAUGAUAAUGACAGUACCGGGAGAAGAAGCACCGGCUAACUCCGUG
rnacentral:rRNA from 1 species